ensembl:lncRNA
GAAAGACGUGUCUAGGGUACCACAGAUAUCAGUGUGUUGUGUUUACUACUGUGCCCAUGCUUCCAUCUUGAUGACAAGGAGGACGACUCCUUCAUCAUUCCCACUACAGAAUACACAAUGGUUCACAUCUUGAAACUGUUUCAGUGUUAUUAACCUGGAUUCCAUUUGGAUGAAAUGAAGCCAGAAGAGACGUCAAUGAGAAAAAAAGAACCUAAAAGAAACCUACUUAAUGUUUUAUGACAGAAAUCUAGAAUCAAAUUGAAUUAAGGACAGCAUAGAUGCUGAAACUACUGAAGAAUGCUGCAGUUAUCUCAUCGAGUGAUGUUCAUCAUUGGAGCCUGUUGAAAUACUUCCGCAUGAGGAAGGAAUGAUGCAUAUAAGGAAAUCUUGAAGAGAAGACUUCACAUAUUUCCCGACUAAUCUCUGAUGAGACAGCUUUCUUCCAUUCUUAAAGGAGGAAGAAAGGGAGAAUCAGCAAGUAAAACAAAACAAGAAAAUGAUAUUCAUUCCACAUAACAUAUUUAAUUUGAUCGACAAUCUUUAGCCUGUCAUUGACCAAGAACACCCAAGUAAUGUUUGUUGGAAAAUCUACUCUAAGCUGCUGAACAGUUAAUUUGCCAGUUUUAGUUUUAUGUACAAAAUCAGCUUUGUAUCAAUUUUCCUUCUUUAUAUGCACUCUAUAGAUAUUAAAUAAGCC